rnacentral:rRNA from 1 species
AUGCUUCUGCUGACGGUUUCAACGACACUCCCAUGGAUGAUGCAAUCAUCCAACCACGGUGAGAUUCACCGUAUCACCGUCUAUGUUGGACUGUAUCUUACAGCCCUUGGCAACGGUGGCAUCAAGCCCUGCACCUCCCCUUUUGGCGCUGACCAGUUUGACAUCACGGACACGAUGGAGCGGGUGAAGAAGGGCUCAUUCUUCAAUUGGUUCUACUUCUUGAACACUAUUGGCUCCCUUUUGUCGACCACUGUGAUCAUCUGGGUGCAAGACAAUGUUGGGUGGGGGAUCGGCUUUGCGAUCCCCAUGAUCCUCACGAGUCUUAGUUUCAUGGUGUUCAUCGCAAGUAGGAGGAUGUACAGAUACAAGUCAAAAGGAGAAAGUCCCAUGACAACAGCUUCCCAGGUUGUUGUUGCAGCUGCAAGAAAUCGCCAUCUGAAGUUGCCUGAGGAUUGCACAACCUUGCAUUACCCGCCUUCAUCACCAUCGGAGGCUACAUUCAGUGUUCAGCAUACCACUCAGUUCAGAUUUUUGGACAAGGCUGCCAUUGUAUCACCAUCGACACAGGAGAAGAAAGGUGUGGCGACGAGCCCAUGGAGGCUAUGCACACUCUCUCAUGUUGAAGAGGUGAAGAUGCUGCUACGUCUGUGCCCUGCAUGGGCGUCUUUGCUGGUCUUCUUCAUGAUCACGGCACAGAUGUCGUCGACGGUGAUUGAGCAGGGUAUGGCAAUGGACAACCGCGUGGGGUCAUUCGCCGUGCCACCGGCCUCCCUCGCCAGCUUCAAUGUGGUUACCACACUUGUAUUGAUCCCCAUAUAUGAAGUCGUGCUAGUGCCCCUGGCUCGGCGCGCCACUGGCGAGGACCGAGGUCUCACACAACCGCAGCGCCUUGGCGUCGGUCUCACGUUGUUGUGA